rnacentral:rRNA from 1 species
UGGGCGUAAGGGUGCGUAGGCGGUCGCGCAAGUCGGAUGUGAAAUCUCAGGGCUCAACCCUGAAACUGCAUUCGAUACUGCGUGGCUAGAGUGCUGGAGAGGAGACUGGAAUUUACGGUGUAGCAGUGAAAUGCGUAGAUAUCGUAAGGAAGACCAGUGGCGAAGGCGAGUCUCUGGACAGCAACUGACGCUGAGGCACGAAGGCCAGGGGAGCAAACGGGAUUAGAUACCCCGGUAGUCCUGGCAGUAAACGGUGCACGUUUGGUGUAGGCGGAUUCGACCCCGCCUGUGCCGGAGCUAACGCGUUAAACGUGCCGCCUGGGAAGUACGGUCGCAAGAUUAAAACUCAAAGAAAUUGACGGGGGCCCGCACAAGCGGUGGAGUAUGUGGCUUAAUUCGAUGCAACGCGAAGAACCUUACCAGGGUUUGGCAUGUAUUGUAACCCCAGUGAAAGCUGGGUAGCUGGGUUAAACCAGCGCUUUACACAGGUGCUGCAUGGCUGUCGUCAGCUCGUGUCGUGAGAUGUUGGGUUAAGUCCCGCAACGAGCGCAACCCCUGUGUCCUGUUGCCACUCCUUAAUUGGAAGCACUCUGGACAGACUGCCCUGUGAAACGGGGAGGAAGGUGGGGAUGACGUCAAGUCAGCAUGGCCCUUACACCCUGGGCUGCACACGUACUACAAUGCUCAGUACAAUAGGAGCCGAAACCGCGAGGUGGAGGAAAUCACUAAAACUGAGCCCAAUUCGGAUCGCAGGCUGCAACUCGCCUGCGUGAAGCCGGAAUCGCUAGUAAUGGCGCAUCAGCUACGGCGCCGUGAAUACGUUCCCGGGCCUUGUACACACCGCCCGUCACAUCAUGGGAGUCACUUGCACCCGAAGUGCACAA